rnacentral:rRNA from 1 species
GAGUUUGAUCCUGGCUCAGGACGAACGCUGGCGGCGUGCCUAAUACAUGCAAGUCGAGCGAGCUUGCCUAGAUGAUUUUAGUGCUUGCACUAAAUGAAACUAGAUACAAGCGAGCGGCGGACGGGUGAGUAACACGUGGGUAACCUGCCAAAGAGACUGGGAUAACACCUGGAAACAGAUGCUAAUACCGGAUAACAACACUAGACGCAUGCCUAGAGUUUGAAAGAUGGUUCUGCUAUCACUCUUGGAUGGACCUGCGGUGCAUUAGCUAGUUGGUAAGGUAACGGCUUACCAAGGCAAUGAUGCAUAGCCGAGUUGAGAGACUGAUCGGCCACAUUGGGACUGAGACACGGCCCGAACUCCUACGGGUGGCGGCAGUAGGGAAUCUUCCACAAUGGACGAAAGUCUGAUGGAGCAACGCCGCGUGAGUGAAGAAGGGUUUCGGCUCGUAAAGCUCUGUUGGUAGUGAAGAAAGAUAGAGGUAGUAACUGG